AAUUAAUUCCAUCUAAACGUGGAAAAUAAUUCAGGAUUCAAAGAGUUCUAAUGGGUACCUGACUUUAGUUAGGGAAUUGUAAAGGUGGUUGAUCAUUGUGUUGGCCACAUGACACCCUCAUUAACCAUGGGCCACAGAAACAACAUCUACCACAUAGACCGCAAGGUCUGCAAGGGGAACUUAACAUACAUUUAAUGCUUUACUUUUUGGUAUAAACUUAAAUUUGUUAGCUUCAACUAAAUAAUGACUUAAGGGGAGACUAACGCUCUGAAAACAAUAAAUUGGGAAAAAAAGAUUUGAAUGCUGGGACAAGAAGCCCCUGGAUGAGGCUGCCAAGUGAUUGGUUCAAAUUUCACACAGUUCAGGCCAAACUCUUAGGCCCUUACUCAAAUAGAGUAAUGUUAUUAAUAUAUUUACAUUUUGACAUCAAAGUUUGUACUUCACCGAUCAUAUUGUGCGUAAAGAUGGGUUAGGUUAGAUGAGUUCAGCUUUGCCUUGUUAGCCAACAACUGUCUGUAUCCUGGACUGUCCACACUUGUAUUAUUGCUGGUACACUUUCAGCAGUGAGCCAUGGCAGCAGACGUAUAGAAGGCAUGCUGGGAAUGAAAUUCAUCACAUACAGCUGCAAAAAAGUAUUUUCAUUGGUAAUUAUGUGGGCUGCACAAGCCUCAGCUGAUGCUCACCAAAGCUCUUGGAAAUCCUAUGCCGAACUGGGAGUCGAACACUUAGUGAGGUUGUGACUGAACGUCGCACGAGGUUUGCGGGACAUGUUCUACGUCAAAAUGAAUUACGCACACCAAGAGUUGCGAUAACAUGGAAGCCAAAACAAGGAAAGCGCAAACAGGGACGUCCUCGUAUUACCUGGCGACACACCUUCAUGGAGGACCUCAGAACAGUGGACACCAGGUGGGAGGAGGCUUCAGACAUUACCAGUGACAGAUCAUUAUGGAGACAGCUUGCCGCCCAAUGCGCCGAACGGCGCCGGAGGACCUAUAAUGUUGAGUCAGAUAUUGAAGCCAGAGCUUGUAUCUAAGUCAAAGACCACUAGUAUUUGACAGUGUUUACAGAGGACAAGAUGUCCCAGCUCAGUCCAAAAUUCAUAAAGACUGUGUCUCAGCGAAGCAUAAGAGUUGGUCUUGGAUUCAAACAGUCAAUGAAUGUUUAGGCAUUCAUAGUGAAAAUACUGCUAACUAUCAUCAGUUCUACCAUGAUGUUUGCCACCUGGAAGAAGACAUGCUUUCAUUCUUGCUUUGGAUGGACAGUUCAACAGCUAGAGCUCAAGUCAAGACUCAAGAUCCUGAUGUCAUGUUAAAACAUUUCAGAUUAAUAAACAAUUGUUGGACUAUCAGGGCUAGUUAGAUCUUCUCACAGAGCGAAGUUGAGAUAUUCACCCAGUUCAUCACCGCCAAGAAGUGCCAGAAUGGAAUUUGAAGGCUAGAGCUCUUGUCCAAUAUCAGCACAAACAUGUGUCAUUAGCAAAAGGGGACUUUGUCAAGAUUUUGGAAAAUUCUGAUGCUGAAAGAUGGAAGAUGGAAUAGAAAGUGAAGUCCCUGCUAUUGUGUUGGUCAUUCCUUCCUGCUUCCAAGAGAUUGAUAAAUUAAGAGAACAAAUCAAGGUCAAUAGUUCUAUUGCUGCUAAAAGAUUAAGGUCACAUUUGAUCCAGUUUUUAAGUGCUGCUAUUUCCCAGACACAGUCCAAAGAUAUGGUGAAUGAGGCAGCAGACAUCUUGAAAGGAGCUGAUUUCAAGUUCCUUCAACAGUCUUUUCAUUUUAUUUAGGAAAAAGCUCAUCAGUCACUUCAAACCAGGUGAUGAUGGAGUCAUAAACAGUAGGAUACAGAGGUGAAACAAAACUGGAGCUUUAGUUUGUUUGUUUGUAGAACUUGGCAUCUACUCCAGACAUUAUUCUGAAGAACACUCAAGUAAAAGAAAAGAAGAAAUGUUAAAGGUUAAGGACUUGGGCUCCAAUCAUACUUACACUUCAAAAGCUUUAAUUUGAAAGGUCUUAUAUUUUUGUGGAAAUAAAUUUUACUAGUGGAGUUUUUGUAGCUGCCAGAGUGGAUCAAGGUGGAUGUGAUAUCUAUUUAUAAACAUGUAUACCAGUAUAUUGUAAUCAGUGAUUUUCAUUUUUUGGUAACAGUUUGUUUCCAUUUAGAUUGCAGUCUUUCUUAUGUGAAAACAAGAUGUCUGCAUAAUCUUAGAGGACAUUUUUAAACUCAUUUAAAUUUAUUAGAUGAAAUAUUUAUAAAACAUACAAUGUAAAUUGUUUUGUAAAAUGAUUAUACAUUUGAGUUCAUAAAAAUGUGUAAUUUUUUAAUGGCAUCAUGUUUCUGCUUAUCUGUAUCUGAUACUGAUGAUGUGUUUUCUAAAUCUAUUACUGCUUCACCAUUGAGGAAAAACUGCACAUGUUUAAACCCAUAUCUGAAGUAACUUUCCAGAAAAAAAAAAGAUGUAUGUUGGACAGUGUCCAAAAUUUCAAAUCAUUUCCUUCAAAAUGUUAUCAAUUUCCUCCAUAACUUCAUAACAUUAUUGAAUUUUUUCCUUCAGAACACAAUUGUAAAUUAUCUUUUUUUUUUUUUUUUUUUUUGUUAAACCACAAUGAGAGUCUAAUAACUAAUAGUCUAGCAAACAAUUACUUAUAAUUUGCCUUAUUAUUAUACAAUAUUAAGAUUUACUUCUGCAGGGAUGAAAAACUUUUUUAAAAAUACAAUAGACAUGUAUAAUAAUAAAGUACAUUCACACCUGACUCACUCAUAAUUUACAUGUGAAAAGUUUAUAUCAGAUUGUUUCUAUUUAAUGAUUUGAUUGCCAUCAGUGUCUUGUAUCUCUUUUGUGAUGGUAAAGUCACAAAAUGUAGGAAACCCCACUGUGUUUGGUCCAGUAUGUGGGUUAUUAUAUGUAAGUCUAUUGUAUUUUCUAUAUUAUUUUACAAAUGUAAAAAAAAUAAAAAGAAAUUGUUACACUGUU